GGGGCUGCAAUGGCUUCGACGGGGAUGAUGAAUCCUGAGUAGCGAGUAGUGUUGAGUACCACUUAAAUCGGCUCAAACUUUAAAUAUAAACGCUAACGAUUACGAAUUAGCAGCUGCCUAAUCAGGCAUGCCGUCCUGCCUUUGAGUACCGCGGCUUAGGUCAGGGCGAAUACCAGCGGUGAACGUGAACGCGUCAUUGCCUUAUGGCGCGUCAUGAAGUAAAGGCUACCGAUGCCGUUAGUUUGGUUGUGGACUUGCGACAAAGGGAAAUUUAACCAUAACCUGCACUCGGAGAAGCUUGGGUGGACUUGUUUUCGGACAGGAGUUCGAUUCUCCUCAGCUCCACCA
rnacentral:tmRNA from 1 species